AGCUAGUUGGUGAGGUAAUGGCUCACCAAGGCGUCGACGGGUAGCCGGCCUGAGAGGGUGACCGGCCACACUGGGACUGAGACACGGCCCAGACUCCUACGGGAGGCAGCAGUGGGGAAUAUUGCACAAUGGGCGAAAGCCUGAUGCAGCAACGCCGCGUGAGGGAUGACGGCCUUCGGGUUGUAAACCUCUUUUAGCAGGGAAGAAGCGAAAGUGACGGUACCUGCAGAAAAAGCGCCGGCUAACUACGUGCCAGCAGCCGCGGUAAUACGUAGGGCGCAAGCGUUAUCCGGAAUUAUUGGGCGUAAAGAGCUCGUAGGCGGUUUGUCGCGUCUGCUGUGAAAACCCGAGGCUCAACCUCGGGCCUGCAGUGGGUACGGGCAGACUAGAGUGCGGUAGGGGAGAUUGGAAUUCCUGGUGUAGCGGUGGAAUGCGCAGAUAUCAGGAGGAACACCGAUGGCGAAGGCAGAUCUCUGGGCCGUAACUGACGCUGAGGAGCGAAAGGGUGGGGAGCAAACAGGCUUAGAUACCCUGGUAGUCCACCCCGUAAACGUUGGGAACUAGUUGUGGGGUCCAUUCCACGGAUUCCGUGACGCAGCUAACGCAUUAAGUUCCCCGCCUGGGGAGUACGGCCGCAAGGCUAAAACUCAAAGGAAUUGACGGGGACCCGCACAAGCGGCGGAGCAUGCGGAUUAAUUCGAUGCAACGCGAAGAACCUUACCAAGGCUUGACAUAUACGAGAACGGGCCAGAAAUGGUCAACUCUUUGGACACUCGUAAACAGGUGGUGCAUGGUUGUCGUCAGCUCGUGUCGUGAGAUGUUGGGUUAAGUCCCGCAACGAGCGCAACCCUCGUUCUAUGUUGCCAGCACGUAAUGGUGGGAACUCAUGGGAUACUGCCGGGGUCAACUCGGAGGAAGGUGGGGAUGACGUCAAAUCAUCAUGCCCCUUAUGUCUUGGGCUUCACGCAUGCUACAAUGGCCGGUACAAAGGGCUGCAAUACCGCAAGGUGGAGCGAAUCCCAAAAAGCCGGUCCCAGUUCGGAUUGAGGUCUGCAACUCGACCUCAUGAAGUCGGAGUCGCUAGUAAUCGCAGAUCAGCAACGCUGCGGUGAAUACGUUCCCGGGUCUUGUACACACCGCCCGUCAAGUCAUGAAAGUCGGUAACACCUGAAGCCGGUGGC
rnacentral:rRNA from 1 species